rnacentral:snRNA from 1 species
GUGCUCACUUCGGCAGCACAUAUACUGAAACUGGAAGGAUAGAGAUUACCAUGGCCCUUGCACAAGGAUGACACACAAAUUUGUGAAGCGUUCCAUGUUUUU